UACAGAGGGGGCGAGCGUUGUUCGGAAUUACUGGGCGUAAAGGGCGCGUAGGCGGCCUUCUAAGUCGAACGUGAAAUCCCCGGGCUCAACCCGGGAACUGCGUCCGAUACUGGGAGGCUUGAAUCCGGGAGAGGGAUGUGGAAUUCCAGGUGUAGCGGUGAAAUGCGUAGAUAUCUGGAGGAACACCGGUGGCGAAGGCGGGUCUCUGGGCAACUACUGACGCUGAGGAGCGAAAGCGUGGGUAGCAAACAGG
rnacentral:rRNA from 1 species